rnacentral:rRNA from 1 species
UACGAGUGCCCCGAGCGUUAUCCGGAAUCAUUGGGCGUAAAGGGUGUGUAGGUGGUUCUGCUAGUCUUUAGUUAAAUUCUUCGGCUUAACCGGGGACAUGCUAGGGAAACGGCAGAACUUGAGGAUGCGAGAGGUGUGUGGAACUCUAUGUAUAGGGGUGAAAUCCGUUGAUAUAUAGGGGAACACCAAAAGCGAAGGCAGCACACUGGCGCAUUCCUGACACUGAAACACUAAAGCGUGGGUAGCGAAUGGG